AAUAGAAUGCCUGACCAAAGGAUUAUUUUGAUAGGAUAAACUACGUAAGUAAUUACUUCUAUUA
rnacentral:tRNA from 1 species